rnacentral:sRNA from 1 species
GCAGAUCCUCGUUCCUAGCUGCCUGCCAGCGUCCUCGGCCCAGCCCUGAGGAUGGACCCAGGUGAUCCCGCUGGUGACCCUGCCGCUGGCGAGCGCCGCCGCAUGGGCCAGGACCCCCUCCUGCUCCUGCAGGCCCUGCAGACCUUGUGGUCCACGCGGGAGCGGCAGCAGCUCCGGGAGGAAGCCUGGCGGGGGUUUGCUGCCUUGGACGACCCCCUGGCCGGGCUUCUGGACAUGCUGGAGAGCUGCCGGGGCCAGCGGGGAGAGGGCCCCUCCCUGGCGGCCUGGAUCUCCCACCAGCUGCAGUGCUGGCUACAGGCACAGCCACGCCCGAGCCUGGCCCAGCACAGCCUGAGGCUGAAGCAGCUGCAGGCCCGAGCGGUCAGAGUCCUCACUGAGAGCCCCCCCAGCCUUGUGGCACCACUGGCCAGCAUCUUCCAGCUGCAGGAUGCAGACAGGAGCUGCCUGCUGGCGCACGUCCACCGCCUCCACCACGAGGGCAGGUUCAGAGAAGCAGCCACGCUGGGCGCGACGUUGAAGCUGCAGUCGGAGCUUGGCGUUGAAAAGAUGAGCGUCCCACUGCUCCUCCAGGACAAGGUGGCCCUCGUGGAGCGCUACGUGGCCGGCUUCCCGGACCUCCAGAGGAGGCUGCUGGUCCUCAUGGAUUCCUGGUGCCAGCCCGGCUUUGACAUCAAGGACGUUGCCAGACAGUACCCUGAGGUGACCUCCUUGAGCCUGGAGAAGCUGAGUCCGAAGGUGCUGAGCAGGCAGGUCUUGCGUCUGCAGGAGCGGUACGGCGUAGCCCCAGCGCUGUGUCCAAACGCGGCCAUUCAGCAGCGCCUGGUGGCCUGCGGCACCUGCACCACAAGCGGUUUGUGGAGAAGAGCCUGUCACAGGAGAACUGGACCGACCACGUGCAGACGGCAGCAUCCGUGCCACCCGAACCAGCCCAGCGGAGCUGCCUGUGGGGCCGGGUGGGGGCUGAGAGUCACCAGAGAGGUGCAAGGCGCCUGGGCGAGGCCGGAAGGAGGAAGGCCGGGCCCCCCCCGCCCGGUGCCAGCACAGAGCCGGCCGGAAGGGCAGCGGACGUCCUGAAGAAUGCGGGCGGCUUCCACGUAUUGU